rnacentral:rRNA from 1 species
GGGAUUACCUCAGUAACGGCGAGUGAAGCGGUAACAGCUCAAAUUUGAAAUCUGGCGCUUUCAGCGUCCGAGUUGUAAUUUGUAGAAGAUGCUUUGGGUGUGGCUCCGGUCUAAGUUCCUUGGAACAGGACGUCAUAGAGGGUGAGAAUCCCGUAUGUGACUGGCUGCCUUCGCCCGUGUAAAGCUCUUUCGACGAGUCGAGUUGUUUGGGAAUGCAGCUCUAAAUGGGAGGUAUAUUUCUUCUAAAGCUAAAUAUUGGCCAGAGACCGAUAGCGCACAAGUAGAGUGAUCGAAAGAUGAAAAGCACUUUGGAAAGAGAGUUAAACAGUACGUGAAAUUGUUGAAAGGGAAGCGCUUGCAACCAGACUUGCCUGCGGUCGAUCAUCCUGGGUUCUCCCUGGUGCACUCGAUCGUGGUCAGGCCAGCAUCGGUUUCGGUGGUGGGAUAAAGGCCUUGGGAAUGUAGCAGUCUUCGGGCUGUGUUAUAGCCCUCGGUGCAAUGCCGCCUACCGGGACCGAGGACCGCGCUUCGGCUAGGAUGCUGGCGUAAUGGUUGUAAGCGACCCGUCUUGAAACACGGACCAAGGAGUCUAACAUCUAUGCGAGUGUUUGGGUGUUAAACCCAUACGCGUAAUUAACGUGAACGGAGGUGAGAACCCUUAAGGGUGCAUCAUCGACCGAUCCUGAUGUCUUCGGAUGGAUUUGAGUAAGAGCAUAGCUGUUGGGACCCGAAAGAUGGUGAACUAUGCCUAAAUAGGGUGAAGCCAGAGGAAACUCUGGUGGAGGCUCGCAGCGGUUCUGACGUGCAAAUCGAUCGUCAAAUUUGGGUAUAGGGGCGAAAGACUAAUCGAACCAU